UAAUUUUAUUGGUCAACAUGGAGUCUCUUAAGAGCCUUAUGUAAAGUGCCUAAAAAUUCCUUUGGAGGAAGGACAACAAAGCCAGAAGUGCGGACGUUUGGGUUUGCGUACUUCUGAUGAGCAGAGGCAAGGAGGGCAAUUCCUUCGGGCUCUUUUGUAAAAACGGCAAGGUCUCUACGC
rfam:Sarcophilus harrisii ctg7180001641899, whole genome shotgun sequence.